AUCUUUGCACUUGGGGCAAUAACGUAGUCCGUGAGGUUCUAACCGAGACACGUCUAUUGCUGGUUGAAAACUAUUUCCAGCUCAAAUAUAAUAAAAUUUAUACUUUCAACCCAAAAAUUAAGGAAAAAAAAGAAUUUUUGAGCUUUACUUGAAA